rnacentral:siRNA from 1 species
AGGGUUUCAGUCAAACUUAGGCAU